rnacentral:rRNA from 1 species
GUGGGGUGAUGGCCUACCAAGGCGACGACGGGUAGCCGGCCUGAGAGGGUGACCGGCCACACUGGGACUGAGAUACGGCCCAGACUCCUACGGGAGGCAGCAGUGGGGAAUAUUGCACAAUGGGCGCAAGCCUGAUGCAGCGACGCCGCGUGGGGGAUGACGGCCUUCGGGUUGUAAACCUCUUUUAGCAGGGACGAAGCGCAAGUGACGGUACCUACAGAAGAAGGACCGGCCAACUACGUGCCAGCAGCCGCGGUAAUACGUAGGGCGCAAGCGUUAUCCGGAAUUACUGGGCGUAAAGAGCUCGUAGGCGGUUUGUCGCGUCUGCUGUGAAAUCCGGAGGCUCAACCUCCGGCCUGCAGUGGGUACGGGCAGACUAGAGUGCGGUAGGGGAGAUUGGAAUUCCUGGUGUAGCGGUGGAAUGCGCAGAUAUCAGGAGGAACACCGAUGGCGAAGGCGGGUCUCUGGGCAGUAACUGACGCUGAGGAGCGAAAGCGUGGGGAGCGAACAGGAUUAGAUACCCUGGUAGUCCACGCCGUAAACGGUGGGUACUAGGUGUGGGUUUCCUUCCUUGGGAUCCGUGCCGUAGCUAACGCAUUAAGUACCCCGCCUGGGGAGUACGGCCGCAAGGCUAAAACUCAAAGGAAUUGACGGGUCCCCGCACAAGCGGCGGAGCAUGCGGCUUAAUUCGAUGCAACCCGAAGAACCUUACCUGGGUUUGACAUCACGGGAAAAGCUGUAGAAAUACAGUGUCCGUAAGGGCCCGUGACAGGUGGUGCAUGGCUGUCGUCAGCUCGUGUCGUGAGAUGUUGGGUUAAGUCCCGCAACGAGCGCAACCCUUGUCCUAUGUUGCCAGC